GGGGGGAGAGGAGAGACCACUAAUGGAAAGGGGGGGGAGAGAAGAGACCACUAAUGGAAAGUCGGGGAGAAGAGGAGAGACCACUAAGGGAGGGGUGGGGAGGAGAGAAGAGACCACUAAGGGAGAGGGAGGAGAGACCACUAAGGGGCAGAGGAGAGCUCUAAGGGACGGAAGGGAGAGCUCUAUAGGACAGGGAGCUCUUUUACACUACGCGCGCACACACACAAUGCAUCCCUAUACAUACACAGAAACACACAAUGCAUCCCUACACACACAGAAAUGCAACAUGCUUCCCUUACACACAGAGAAACACACAAUGCAUCCAUUACACACACACACACAAUGCAACUCUUACACACAAAGACAAUGCAUCCUUCGCACACAUACAAAGAAGCAUACAAUGCAUUCCUUACAGACACAUGCAAACACACUCUGCUUCUCUUACACACACACAGAAACACAAUGCAUCUCUUACACACACUCAAUGCACCCCUUACAUACACAGAAACACACCUUGCAUCCCUUAUGCAUACAAACAGAGAUUCACACAAUGCAUCCCUUACACACAACCAGAAACACACAAUACACUCCACUACACACAAACACACUGCAUCACCUACACAAACUGGUAUCUCUAUACACUUCAUUCCAUAAGCACACAAAUUAGAUCCUCUACAAUAAUACAUAAAACAUCCCCUACACAUAUCACUCCCUGUGAGCGAACUCAAGGGUGGAACAUGGGUGGGCCUUACGGGCAUACUCACCAUCAGGCCCUUGGGCCCAUACCUUGAGCUGUGUAAGGGGCCCCCCAAAAUGGAGCUGUUUCCCGUUCUCCCAGAACAUUGAAUUUUGUGACCACAGUAACAAACAGCCUCCAGAGAUCCUGUUCUACACCAGACCAGUGGAGCCAAACUGCAGCCAGAGCCCAUCACCAUC